CGUUGAUGUGUUUAUAUUUACUUACUGUAUGGUGAUGGCAAGAAGCAGAAAAAUUUUGAAAUACUGGUUUCUUAUCGCUGUUUUAGUAGUUAUUUUCAUUGCUGAAAUCGUACCCCAUUUAACUGCUGACGGCGGUUUACCGUGGCCCGACACCAGCGCGAAGUAUGGAACAGUACCAAUCGUAUUUCUUUUAAGUGGCUUAACUCUUCCAACCGAUAAUCUGUUGACUGCUGCCAAACAGUAUGAUUUACAUUUCGUCACCCAGUGUUUUUCACUUUUAUUUACUCCACUCUUCGUCAAACUUUUGACUGUUGUUCUUGCGCCAACUGGUGUGGAUGAUUGGAUUAUGAAAGGUUUUAUCAUUUCUAGCAGUAUGCCUGUCUCAUCGUCAUCCGUCGUGGCUACUAUUUGUGCAGACGGCAACGAGGCAGCUGCAAUAGUAAACUGUAUUGUAGGUGCACUUCUUGGAAUGAUAACGACGCCACUUAUAUUGUUGAUACUGGUAUGUUUUCUUCGGUGGGCAUUCGUACCUUCUUUUUGUAUAACAGUGGUUUGUGUUAUUCUUAUUUUAUUGUUACAGAUAAGAUCAGCAGCAGUGGUUUCACCUGUCAAAUCACUGCAUGACCUAAUUCUCACUGUGGGCACACCACUGCUUGUUGGGCAAAUUGUUCGCAAAGUAACUGGAAUGAGACUGCAACACAGUAUUGCAUUGAAGAUUAGACAGUUGGCGUUACUGAUGACUGUGUUUAUAACCUUUUGUGACAUAUUUAUGUCACAUCUAGAUGUAGAAUUACAGCCCAUUAAUGUACUAGUUUCAGUUUUCUCAGUGGUAAUUCUACAAAUGACAUUGCUACUUCUCAUUUUUUGGACAACCAGAUAUCUGCCAUCAAAGUUUUCACUACAGGACACAAAGGCAAUUAUGUUCUGUUCAACACACAAAUCUCUCUCCCUUGGAAUUCCGAUUCUAAGGACAAUGUACUCUGGUUAUGGGCACCUUUAUAGUGCAUCACUGCCAUUGUUGCUGUACUAUCCAAGUCAAAUCAUACUGGGAGAACUGCUUGGACAGCACAUGAAAAAUUGGGUGGAUUGGGAUUCUGGACAUGAUAAGUAACAAAAUGAAGUCGCAUGGUGCAUCUGGAUGAAUAUAUUCAAUGAAGAUGCAAAUUUACCUCCGUCAUCACGCAGAAAGACCCAGGAGAAAUGAUUAACCAUAAGAAUGUUGUUUCAGAUGGACCUCCUCCAAGCUCGCACUACAACAUACAUCAGUUUAUCAAUGACACUCUGCCUCAUCGCUGGACAGGGCGCACAGAUCCCAAGACACGGCCUGCAUUCUUGGCCUCCAAGAUCACCAGACACGACUCCAUGUAAUAUUUUCUUGUGGGGAUAUGUGAAGCAAAGUAUGUUCAUCUCCCCUUUACGUUCUGACAUAGAAAUAGUGCAGAACAAAAUAACAGCCGCUACAACUUCUGUAAAAGCAGAUACAUUGUGUAAGCUAUCGUCUACAGGUUGUUCGUGCUGCUACUAGUGGACACAUUGGGCAUU